GAUUCCCUUAGUAGCGGCGAGCGAACCGGGAAAAGCCCAUCGCCGAAUCUCGCCGCGCACUUUUGUGUCGCGGCACGUAUGAGAGUUGUGGCGUACGGGCCGGCCUCGUUGCCGGGGCGCACGUGACGGUCCAAGUCUCCCUUGAACGGGGCCAUGGCCCGCAGAUGGUGCCAGGCCAGUAGAGGCCGUCACAGCGUUCCGGGAUCGGACCGCGCCUUCGAGUCGGGUUGCUUGAGAGUGCAGCCCGAAGCGGGUGGUAAACUCCAUCUAAGGCUAAAUACGGCCACGAGACCGAUAGUUUACAAGUACCGUGAGGGAAAGUUGAAAAGAACUUUGAAGAGAGAGUUCAUAAGAACGUGAAACCGCUCGGUUGUAAACGGACAGAGCUCGCGAAUCCCCGCCGGGCGAAUUCACGGUCGGUCUAACCGCCGGCCGGAUCUUUCGCUCGGUUAGCGGACGUCGCGACCCGUUGGGCGCCGGCCGAAUGGCCCGGGUGACGUUCGUCGCGUCGGUCGCGUUUCGGCGUGACCGUUCGCGCCGAGCCCCGGUGCUCAUGGUCGGCUCGCCCGACGGCAAGAACCGUCGACGCGGCCCCGUCGCAGGCGGGGUCCCGUCGGUCGGCGACGUGUUUCGAGCUACUUUCCGACCCGUCUUGAAACACGGACCAAGGAGUCUAACGUGUGCGCGAGUCAACGGUGAUCUUACGAAAAACCACGUUUGGCGCAAUGAAAGUGAACCGUUUACGGUGCGGACGAUGGCCUAGCGACCGAACCCACCGGCGUUCAAAGUCGCGCUGGUCCGCAGUCCGGGGGCGUCUCCGCCUAAGUCGGCUUCGGCCGGCUGGGGGCGCACCCUUAGCGCACACGUUGGUACCCGAAAGAUGGUGAACUAUGCCUGGCCAGGAUGAAGUCAGGGGAAACCCUGAUGGAGGUCCGCAGCGAUUCUGACGUGCAAAUCGAUCGUCUGAGCUGGGUAUAGGGGCGAAAGACUAAUCGAACCAUCUAGUAGCUGGUUCCAUCCGAAGUUUCCCUCAGGAUAGCUGGCGCCGAUGUGUCCCGCCCGUUCGCGGGCGUACGGACGCCGGUGGGACUCCGCGCUGUACGGCGCGGUAACAACACGCUCGUAACACGGAGGAUGUCUCAUACGGUAAAGCGAAUGAUUAGAGGACAUUGGGGCCGAAACGACCUCAACCUAUUCUCAAACUAUAAAUGAGUGAGAUCGCCGGCUUUACCUGGUACACCGCGUGAACCGCGUGCGAAGCCGGCGACGGAACCCUAGGCGCUUAGUGGGCCAUUUUUGGUAAGCAGAACUGGCGCUGCGGGAUGAACCGAACGCCGAGUUAAGGCGCCGAAAUCGACGCGUAUUCAGAGACCAUGAAAGGCGUUGGUUGCUGAUGACAGCAGGACGGUGGCCAUGGAAGUCGGAAUCCGCUAAGGAGUGUGUAACAACUCACCUGCCGAAGCAACUAGCUCUGAAAAUGGAUGGCGCUGGAGCGUCGUGCCUAUACUCGGCCGUCGACGGCAUAGUGGGGCCAGUCGUCGCUCGCGGCGGCCGGUCCCGGCAAGCCUCGAC
rfam:Acyrthosiphon pisum strain LSR1 Contig3072, whole genome shotgun sequence.